GCCGGAGUGGCGAAAUGGUAGACGCAAUUGACUCAAAAUCAAUCGCAGGCAACUGUGUGUCGGUUCGAGUCCGACCUCCGGCA
rnacentral:tRNA from 2 species